CGGGAGGGGUGGGGCAGAGAGACGUCAGGAGGUGACCGCGCAUUUGUCNUUGCUUNGGNGGNGCGGCGCCCAGCGCGCCCCCCGGCCCCGCUCGCGGGGCGCCCGCCGGAGGUUACCUAACUCUUGACAAUUGUAUGGCCUCUCUGAGUCUCUGUACUUAAUAAGUCAAAACUUUCAACAACGGAUCUCUUGGUUCUGGCAUCGAUGAAGAACGCAGCGAAAUGCGAUAAGUAAUGUGAAUUGCAGAAUUCAGUGAAUCAUCGAAUCUUUGAACGCACAUUGCGCCCGCCAGUAUUCUGGCGGGCAUGCCUGUUCGAGCGUCAUUUCAACCAUCAAGCCCCCGGCUUGUGUUGGGGACCUGCGGCUGCCCGCAGGCCCUGAAAACCAGUGGCGGGCUCGCUAGUCACACCGAGCGUAGUAGCAUACACAGGCUCUAAGCAUAGGCGAGGAGGGCCGUUGGUGAGUCACCUGAGAAUCAAGAAUACGCGAGAGUACCUAAGC
rnacentral:rRNA from 1 species